rnacentral:rRNA from 1 species
AUGCUUAACACAUGCAAGUCUACUUGAACUUCGGUUUGGGUGGCGGACGGGUGAGUAACGCGUAAAGAACUUGCCUCACAGUUAGGGACAACAUUUGGAAACGAAUGCUAAUACCUGAUAUUAUGAUUUUAGGGCAUCCUAAGAUUAUGAAAGCUAUAUGCGCUGUGAGAGAGCUUUGCGUCCCAUUAGCUCGUUGGAGAGGUAACGGCUCACCAAGGCGAUGAUGGGUAGCCGGCCUGAGAGGGUGAACGGCCACAAGGGGACUGAGACACGGCCCUUACUCCUACGGGAGGCAGCAGUGGGGAAUAUUGGACAAUGGACCAAAAGUCUGAUCCAGCAAUUCUGUGUGCACGAUGACGUUUUUCGGAAUGUAAAGUGCUUUCAGUUGGGAAGAAAAAAAUGACGGUACCAACAGAAGAAGUGACGGCUAAAUACGUGCCAGCAGCCGCGGUAAUACGUAUGUCACAAGCGUUAUCCGGAUUUAUUGGGCGUAAAGCGCGUCUAGGUGGUUAUGUAAGUCUGAUGUGAAAAUGCAGGGCUCAACUCUGUAUUGCGUUGGAAACUGCAUGACUAGAGUACUGGAGAGGUAAGCGGAACUACAAGUGUAGAGGUGAAAUUCGUAGAUAUUUGUAGGAAUGCCGAUGGGGAAGCCAGCUUACUGGACAGAUACUGACGCUAAAGCGCGAAAGCGUGGGUAGCAAACAGGAUUAGAUACCCUGGUAGUCCACGCCGUAAACGAUGAUUACUAGGUGUUGGGGGUCGAACCUCAGCGCCCAAGCUAACGCGAUAAGUAAUCCGCCUGGGGAGUACGUACGCAAGUAUGAAACUCAAAGGAAUUGACGGGGACCGCACAAGCGGUGGAGCAUGUGGUUUAAUUCGACGCAACGCGAGGAACCUUACCAGCGUUU